UGUCUGAGUGUGUGUGUAUGUGAGUGGAGUGUAUUGUGUGUGUCUGUGUGUGCGUGUGUGUGUAAACCAUUUCCUCUGCUCAGGGCAGUAUCAGCUGACAAUCUGCAGAGUCUGUGCCCCACAACAGAAUUGAGUCGAGAAGAGUGUCUCUGGAACUGAGAGACGAUGCUUCGAUAGGCAGCACAAGGAAAAAAACCUGUAAGUAAUAGUCUGCCUGACACUGAUUAGCAGACAUACAAAAGAAAAUGGUGACUGGGCCCCCUUGGGUGCGGUUGCCUCCCAGCUUGUACAGAGCAUCCGGCUCUUGAAUGCCAGUGGGAGAGGCAUAAUGAAGGAGGCUCUGUCCUCUGCCGGUGGAGGAAUGCUGUGUGGUUGUGUGUGUUGGUUCUCUGGAUGUAGGCCUUGUAUUCACCUUUGUGGUCCCUGCACACACCGCUCAUUGAAUUCCGUAUUCCCGGGAACAGCAGGGGCCCCUUUCGAUUUGUCAGCCAGCCAGGAGAGAUGGUGGGAGAAUAGUAUGUGAAAGAGAAUUGAGAAUGUCCAAAUUUCAGUCCGAUUUGGAAAUUAAAAGUCAUCUUUGUAUUAAUAGAGCAUCAAUUUAAUUCCUGAUUGUUGACCUUCCAAAAUUGAUAACAGUUGGUAAGAUAGCAAUACACAAAUGGAACAUGCACAUGUUAGUGUUAAAUACAUUUGAUAGGUUCAAAAUGGCAGGAAUGGUGCCGGCAUUGUUACUGGGCUAAUGAGCUGAAGCAAAUUUGUCCCGAGAAUAAACCCACUAGUGACCCAGAAGUCUUAUUUCCUUUUAUGCUGAAAUGCUUUUGCAUUACUGUACCAAUCAUUUAAAUAUAUUAAAGCUGUACCUAAAUUCUAAUAUCAUCAUAAAUAUACUAUUAUUAUUUCAGGCCUUUCCCAUUGGCUUAGCUUCCUACAUCACCUCAAGCAAGUAGAGGUUCCACAAGUUUCCUCAUUCUUGAAAUUGCUUGAUCUAGACAAGACGAAGAUAUGACCCACACCACAGCAUGCUCUGGGGAUCAUUAAUCAAAAGGUACACCUUGGGAGACUGUCCCUUCAGUGCUGGCCUUCUUGGGAAUGGACAGGACAGAUGGGAGAAAAAGGAGAAGUUAAACAUGGAGAGAAAUACAGGAUUCAAAGACUGCUCCCCACACUCAAAAAUGAAGACACAGAAAUGAAACUGCCAAUGUUCCACAAAGCAGACAAAGUACCUAGUUUGAUGUAGAAAUCAUGCUGAUUCACCAGAAGAAAAUGAUCUUAAGCGUACUCAACCGAACAUUUGCAUGUCGGACAAUUAAGUUUGCAAACUCAUCGUAGAAAAAGU